rnacentral:rRNA from 1 species
AAAAGUGGUAGCAGAACGUUUUGUUUACCUACGAAGUAAAGCUAAAAAGUUUUAUGGAGGUUUCAAAAGUGCUUAUAUUGGCAUGAGUAAUGAUAAAUAAAGUUUUUGAAUGAACUUUAUCGCCGUAAACCCAAGGUUAAACAGGCACUGUUAAACAAACUGUGUUAAAUCGAUCCCUAAGCCAAAAAUGAAAAUUGUAAGUGAUGGGUAGGUGUUUAAAUACAUCUUUGUUUUAUUUGACUAAUCUAAAUUUAAAUUAUUUUUAAAAUGGAUAAUAUUAAUAGUUUUUUUAAGGUUACAAGAAAUAAAAUAAAACUAAAAAAUCGUUCUAAAACCGCCACAGGUGGGUGGGUGUUAAUGCACUAAGGCGCUUGGAUUAAUUAUAUUGAAGGAACUCGGCAAAAUGACCCUGUAACUUUAUGGAUAAAGGGGGCUUUUUAUAAUGGAAACAUUUUUAAAGCGACACAUAAUUUGAGAGUGGCGACUGUUUAGUAAAAACACAGGUCUCUGCUAAAUCGUAAGAUGAAGUAUAGGGGCUGACGCCUGUCCGGUGCGAUAACGUUAAAAGGAAAAGUUCACGCUUUGAAUUGAUGCGCUCGUAAACGACUGCUGUAACUCUGACGGUACUAAGGUAGCGAAAUGCCUUGCCAACUAAUUAUUGGCUUGCAUGAAUGGCGUAACGACUGCUCUACUGUCUCCAAUAUAAGUCCAAUGAAAUUGAAUUCUUCGUGAAGAUGCGAAGUAAUAAUGGAAAGACGAAAAGACCCUAUGAACCUUUACUACAUGGUUAUAUUGUUUUCAGUGAGAUGAUGUGUAGAAUAGGUGGGAGUAAAUGACGAAAAACCGCCAGGUUUUUUAGAUACUAUCUUUGAAAUACCACCCUUUUUCUUUUCUAAAACUAACUUAAAUAAAGCAAAUCUUUAUUAAGGACAUUUUAUCCUUGGUAGUUUAAUUGGGGCGAUUUUCUCAUAAAAAGUAACUGAGAAGUAUAUAAGGUAAACUCAAAAUAAUUUUUUAUUAUUUUUUGAAUGUAAGGGUAUAAGUUUGCUUAACUGUAAGACUGACUGGUCGAGCAGAAACGAAAGUUGAUCCUAGUGAUCCGGUAACAGUGUGUGGAAUUGUUAUCGCUCAACGGAUAAAAGGUACUCUAGGGAUAACAGGCUAAUGGUUCUUGAGAGCUCUUAUUGACGGAACCGUUUGGCACCUCGAUGUCGACUCGUCUCAUCCUGGGGCUGUAGCAGGUCCCAAGGGUUUGGUUGUUCGCCAAUUAAAGAGGCACGCGAGUUGGGUUUAGAACGUAAAAAACAUUGCGUUAAAAUUUAGUAAUAAAUUUUUAUAGUACUAGCUAAUAUCGGUGAAACCUUAUUUUGUUAAUAUAUAGUAAUCAAAGAUGGUUAUACCGAGGGAAGUCUUAUAAUUUAAUUAUUUUUCGCCCGUAGAGACUUAAAAGCCUUUCAUUUUAUAAAAAGCUUUAGAUGGCAAAUACUUUUUAUUUGUCAUGACACGCUAGCCCCUAGGUUAUUAUAGGGUGAAUAUAUAGUCCGUGCUGUAUAGAAAUAUAAAGAAUAACAUGCGUGAGACAGUUUGG